UAGACACCAAAACAGACCAUGUUAAUCAUCCCUAAAUAAAGGACUAAACAAUAUUGAACCCUGUCCUAAUGUCUUCGGUUGGGGCGACCACGGAGAAAUAAGAAACCUCCGCGUGGAAUAGGGAUACUAUCCCCACAGUUACGAGCCUCCGCUCUAUCAAACAGAACAUCUGACCAACCAGAUCCGGCAACGCCGACCAACGGACCAAGUUACCCUAGGGAUAACAGCGCAAUCCCCUUCUAGAGCCCAUAUCGACAAGGGGGUUUACGACCUCGAUGUUGGAUCAGGACAUCCUAAUGGUGCAGCCGCUAUUAAG
rnacentral:rRNA from 1 species